CAGUGAGUUCAGGAUGUCACAUAAUGGCUUCUUGUUUGGCCCCUGGUUGUCUCUGCGACUGGCAGGUUUUUCAACAAAUGCACUCUGUAGUAGUUUGGCACAUUCAUAAGCAAUCACACCUCCAUCUUUAUUCGUAGAGCAUUCUGAAUUCUCUGAUUUUGGUAAUUCGUUGUCUGCCAAUGAUUUCAGUGGUUCCCUAUUUGUGCACUUAAAACGUGUGCAGCGACAUGAUGGUCCACAGCUCCCACCGGUGGAUCGAAAUUUGCACUUUGUAGUCUUGCACAAGGACUUCUUACUGCAUGAACAGAAAAGCCCUUCACACACUCUUUCCCUCUUAUAACUCUUUUCAUAUGAACCGCUCAUUCCGGGGAUAUCCAAUUUAUUCUUGUCUUUACUUUCUUCAGAAAGAAGAAGAUCCAGGCCCUGCUGAUUAGAAUAUGCCACAAUUUAAUAAAUAAGCAACCUAUUUUACUUGUACUUCUUUAAUAAAUAUAUUUCUCCAUAAUAAAGUACUUGUUUUAACUUUGAAUCAUAUCUAUUAUACUAAUACACCUCUAAUUUGAUGUCAGUGGUCCGAACCUGCUUCAUUUCUCUGGAGUCAUGCUUCUCCUUCCGCAAUUGCAAUUCUUUAAGUAGAUGACUAAGGUUGUUUACUUGUUCCUUUGAAACUUGAAUAUCAUCAAAACCCUUCUCGGGGAUGUUAAGGUCUUCUUCCUGUGACUGAGACCUUGAAGUAAAAAAAAUGGGAGAUGAAACACAGCAUCAAAUUAGAGUGAUCUACUAUGGUACUGCCAGCUCGUAGAAGUCAAGCAAUACUGCAAAAUGUAAACGAGUAAAAGUAUUUACCUUGAUUUUUCCUCCCUGUGCAUCGCAACUUCUUCUUUCAGCUGUGCAAUCUCCUCAGUCAUCCUGACCAUACAAGCGGUUAGAAUAGGACUCUUAAAGUUAUAUACAAUUUAUGUCAUCCUGACGACGAUACUCUUCUAAACAAGUUUGUGACCUACAAAAUUAUAUUUUAAAUCCUCUCAGAUUAAAGGGAAGUUAUCAGGUUAUAGUACUGCAUAUGCAUACUGGUAAAAUAUUGGUAAAUAUUAGCAUGCUCAUAAAACGAGACAUGGAAAAAAUGUUUUUUCAAAUUAUAUACUUAGAAUACUUAAACUACUGAUGUAUUAUGGAACCUGAGUUGAAUCUUUUGAUUCAUGGUAUAAUAUUUAUUUAUUUAUGUUGAAUUCAAGGUUUUGCUGGUAAUUAUUGGGCCACCAACAAGUGCCACUUGAAUAAGUUUCUACCCCACACCAAUCAAAUUUAAUAUCAAAUUCAGUUGCCUAUAAAACCAACUGUGCAAGCUACUGAUACCUCAAACAUAUGAGUAAUGUAGAGCCAACUUGUUAAAUUGAAGAUAAAUAAAGUGGCACCUCUAAUCGAAGUGUCUAACAGAGUUCCGGAGAGUAUAUAAUAUUCAACGUUAACAGUUCAAACCGAAAUAUACACAAACUUCAGCGUAAUAAAAUCAUCCCAAAAUCUAACACAAUUAUGCUAACCUUUGAAGUUCAAACAAUAAAAUAACCUUUUCCACUGGUCAGCUUUUAAAAUUGUGAUGCUACUAAUAGUUCUUAACGUCUUGCAAAGUACAUAUUCCCACCCCAACAUAAAGUAGCGUAAAAGAUACAUUUCAACAUUGUAAAAAAUGAAACAUACAGGUACACACAAUUACCAUCAGAAAACAACAUUUAGUCAUGCAAAAUAUACAGUUUACAAGUGAAGAAAGUCAAUAAGAAAUACUGAUACUAAACCUACCAGAGAUAUGCAUUACAAUUAACAAGAAUUAAAAUAUCAGCUGAACAACAGGAGAGUCUAUUGAAAAUAUCAGCUGAACAACAGGAGAGCCUAUUGAAAAUAUCAGCUGAACAACAGGAGAGGCUGUUGCAGACCUAUAAAGGCUGGAAAUAAGUAUAAGGCAAUGAAGGGAAUAUAGGAGUGACACGAGACUUACUUUUCAAUAUUGGAUUCAUAUUGAGAACAUAAUUUUGUGCAACUGAGUUGUGACUUCAAGUUCAUGCUCAUCAUCCUGCACCAGUCAUUAUUUAUGCAUUUUGAUAUGUCAGGUCAACAUGUAAAUCAGGCAACUGCAACAAAACAGCAAUCAAAACCAUGAAUAUACAUUUCCAACAGAAACAAACAUUGUCUAACUAACUAAGUCUUCAAAAAGGAUACAAAAUAACAUUUACAUCAGAGCUUAAAGAGUAGAAAUUUUCCAUAUAAUAUCAGAUAUCAGUAGCAUAAUCAUGAUUUGACACAUUCUCAAAUACGGGCCACAAACCUGAACAUGUCCUAGUAAAAGAUACUAUGACCAAUGUUUGGCCGAAGUGGAAAGGAAACAAGGUAUAAAAACGACUCUUGAGCAAGUGACAGGAAAACUAAUGGAUUUGACUGCCUAUCGAACUAAAAUAACAUCAAAGUGUAUGUUGUUUGAUCUACAAGAUUCUACAUGCAGUCGACAAUUACAAUAGAUGGAGAAUUACCUGAAUUACUUGACCGUUUUUAUUUUUGGAACCUACAUGAGAAACAGCCUGUUAUUAGUGAGAACAACCCAAUUAUUAUGUGAGCUAUGUACAUUCAAUUCAAUAAAAAAAACUAGCUUAAAGGUGGAUGAAAACAAAACAAGAACAUUUAUGUCAAGGAAACCAUAUAGAAUUGAAAUGGUUGUAUAAUCUCCGGAAAAAAUAAAGAAAUGAAAACAGGAAAUCAGAUACAUGUGACGACAACCAGUGGCGGAUCUUUGUUGUGACGGGCCUCAGUGGCACCCCCAAAAUUUCCUUUCUUCUUAUAAAGGGAGUGACUCCAUGAGAACAGUUUGCUAAUAUGAGAAAUGAGAACAAAUAACUACAGCCAUUAAAUCCUAAUUAAUGAAAAUCAGCGGUUUAGAUUAAUUGCUCGUUCCCUGGUCUUCUUUCACGUACAGACUAAAAACAAUGGAGUUAUUUAAUUUGAAUGGCUUUACACUGCAUUAAGCCAUAUCAAACAAAAUUAUGCCCAAAAUACAGUAAUAAGUAAUAACGGACGUAUCAUACACAUGUCAGAUGGACAUGUCACGUGUGUGUGAUUUAGUAAUAACAGAACGGAUCUUGACAUACGUGUGCAAUGCAACAUAAUAUGAACAUGGUAAAGACAGUUAUUUAUGUUAGAGCGCGAAAUGGAUACGUUUGAAGAAUGCGUUGUGUCCUAAAUAUAAGACGGUUCAACCAAUUAGAAGAGGACGCGCAUGCUUUAUCAUCAGGUUACAUUUUCAUCAUAUUUUGUAGUUAAUUUAUAUGUGAAAAAUCAAAUAAGAAUAUGAGAAAUCAUAUUUGUACAACCACUCUAACAACUUUAUGAUGGCCAUAUUUUUUUUUUUUUUUUUUAUGGGGGCCACUUUUUGACAACUUUAAAACAACUCUCAUAUUCACAUUUUUUUUUAUUCUUUCUCUCUAUUAAUAUUUGCAGAAAAUAACAAGUUAGUUUAGAUGAAAAAGUCUAAAAUUACGAGUAUAAAAAACAGUUUAACACCAUUACUUAUUAGAUGAAAAAGAUCCGAACCAUCAAAUAGAGUUCAAAAAUAAGAAUUACACAGGAUAAUCAAUUAAAUGAAAAAAAAUCCCGAUGAAAAACUCUUUCUAGGCCUUACUCGUUUUACAAUAUCAUAUUCAGGGAUUUAUAUCAUCUCUUGUUUGAAUCCAAUGCGAGGGGAUUAUGUUCAACAUCUCACUGUUAAAACUCAGUGAGUUCUACGAUUUAAGAACCAUCAAAUCAACAACAUACAGAAAAUCAACAAAUUGACAGUUUUUUAGAACAAACUAUUGCAGUACAAGUGAAGACAAGUUAUUGUAUUAUAAAACCAGUUUGAAGAGUAGAGAGCAAAUCCCAAAUUUAAGCUCUCUAAGCUUAAAUAUAAGCUCUCUACGAUCACAACAUAAAUUAACAUGUUUAUGAGAAACAUAAAUUACUAUGAAUUAUGUAGAAAUUAUAAAAUUCUAUUUUAUGACAAUCUGAUUUUGAAACAACUCUCAUGAUACUAAACAAGAGAUCCAAAUUAACAAUGUAAAUCAAACUCAACAAUUCAGCAUCAGUAUGAAUUUUCAAAAACCAGUAAUAACAAAUUAAAUGAUUCCUGUUCUUUGUUUGUCCCCAGAACAGAAGACUGGGUGUGAAAACGAGAAGUUAAUCAAACAGUUAUCUUCCUGUUGAUCUUCUUAAAUGACGAAAAUCAGCUGCUUUUCUAAUGGCAGUCGCCAGAAGCACUCUUUCCUAGCUGGUUUCAUCACCUAGUUCAAUCUCAUUGAUUUAUUUUUUCGAGUUCGAAUAAUGUAUGUUUUAAUACUUCAGUUAUUUUUCUGGAGUUGAGGACAUUGGAUCCUUGGUAACAAGCUGAAUUACCGGCUUCCUGGUAUUCUUUUUCCGGCCUUGCUUUUGAGCAUCUAUAUUACCCUGCAAUCAAAUUGUCACGUGGAUUAGUGAGCAAGUUGGGAAAACCGCAGCAUAUUAAGCCAGAUACCUUGAUUUUACAGUAUAGUAAAUCUCAGCCAAGUUAUUAAAAUAGGUGCUAAAUGCAAGAAAGGAUUUUUCUGGUGACUAAGAUCAGAGUUAUGGAAUGAAGAAUACCACCAGUGAGUUCUGGAUGUCACAUAAUGGCUUCUUUUUGGGCCCCUGGUUGUCUCUGCGACUGGCAGGUUUUUCAACAAGUGCACUCUGUAGUAGUUUGGCACAUUCAGAAGCAAUCACGCCUCCAUCUUUAUUCGUAGAGCAUUCUGAAUCCUCUGAUUUUGGUAACUCGUUUUCUGCCACUGAUUUCAGUGGUUCCCUAUUUGUGCACUUAGAAC
rnacentral:lncRNA from 1 species